CACCUCCAUGCAAGAAAUUAAGGAAAUCUACCAGCAAAAAUUCAAGCUUUCUACAGAGCCAUAAGAUCAUUAGAAAAUGAAAUACAAAAUAUAUCACAGUGUUGAUCACCCUCUCUGUACUAAUAGACUGUUUGAUUAUUGUAUAGUCGAUAUAGCCUCUGAGAUUCGCCUUCCCCCCUCUCUUGCUCCUACUGAGACUAGCAUCUGGUAUUGUACUUGUUGGAGACCAUUACCAGCUGCCACCUUUAGUGAGAUCACCAGUGGCCAAGUGAGGAUUAUACACAUACAUGUACUUGAAUAUAAUGUCAUUGUAUUUUUUGAGAGAAAGGUUAUAAGGAAAGUCUUUUUAAACGAUUUUCAUCAGCUCAUCCAAUGUCCCUGACUUCUCUCACACACCAGCAUAGAAUGAAUUGAUAUUAUGGAAUUGUCCAACCGUCUCAUUUAUGACAAUUUGCUUUGUUGUGCUUCUGAAGACAUUGCCAGGGCAACCAUGUCAACAUCAGGAUGGAGUUUUUUGGAAAUUAAAUCAGAUUGGCUGGCGCAUGCUAUUGACCCGAAUAAUAAUGUUGUGUUUCUAAAUACAGACAAACUUGGUACUGCAUUAGAAGAAAAUACAUCUGAUCACAUGUGCAAUACGUUUGAAGUUAAAGCAGUUGUGAACAUCAUCACGACUUUAGUACAGUUAGGGAUAAGCCCCUCUGAUAUACUAGCAAUUACACAGUACAAGAGUCAAGAAAGACUCAUGAAUAAAUGGCUGCAGAAGCCCGAGGCAAAUUUACAGACCUCAUAGUUCCAGUAUACCAAGGAUUAAGGAUUGGGCUGUGGAGGUGCUGACUAUUGACAAAUGCCAGGGAAGGGAUAAGAGUUGUGUGUUGGUGUCAUUUGUUAGGAGCAACACAUCAGGAAAGGUUGGUCAGCUUCUUGACUGGAAGAGGGUCAAUGUGGCCAUGACUAGAGCAAAACACAAGCUGAUAUUCAUUGGGUCUUAUAGCACCCUCUCUCACUCACCUCACAUGUUGAAAGUGAUAAGCAUCAUGAGUCAACGCAAAUGGAUGGUUGAUAUAGGUACAUUGUGACCUAUUCUUGUACUCAUUACACUAACUCAAUUUUGGACACUCAUUAUUAUUAUUAUUAUUAUUAUUAUUAUUAUUUGGAAUUUUCUAUUUUGCAUUUUCUUUCUCUGUCAAAAAAUUAACAGUAAUGGCAUGCAUAAG